CUUGACCGAGCCCAGCAGCAGCGGACGGCCGUCCGCACGGUCCCGGCCGUAGGUCGCCAGCAGGGCCUGCGCCUC
rfam:Streptomyces yokosukanensis strain DSM 40224 genomic scaffold PRJNA299221_s036, whole genome shotgun sequence.